GACGAACGCUGGCGACGCGCUUAACACAUGCAAGUCGAACGGAAAGACCCUGCUUUUGUGGUGUGCUCGAGCGGCGAACGUGUCAGUCAGAUGAGCGUCACCUGCCCUAUCUUUUCGGAUAACUUCUGGAAACUGGGGCUACUACCGGAAAUGAGCUCCUGCUGCACGGGGGGGGUCGGGAAGUUUCGGCGGUUGGGGUUGUACUCGCGGCUUAGCGGGCUGCUGGUGGGGUAGUGGCUUACGAAGGCGCCGACGGGUAGCCGGCCUGAGAGGGUGGCCGGCGACAUUGGGCCUACUAUACCGGCCAGAAGCCGUCGGGAGGAAGGAGUGGGGAGUAGUGCACAGUGGGCGCAAGCCUGAUGCAGCAACGCCGCGUGCGGGAUGACGGCCUUCGGGUUGUAGACCGCAUUCGCCUUGGUCGAAGCGUUAGUGACGGUAAUGGGUAAAGAAGCACCGGCUAACUACGUG
rnacentral:rRNA from 1 species